rnacentral:rRNA from 1 species
UACGAAGGGGGCUAGCGUUGUUCGGAAUUACUGGGCGUAAAGCGCACGUAGGCGGGCGAUUAAGUCAGGGGUGAAAUCCCGGAGCUCAACUCCGGAACUGCCUUUGAUACUGGUCGUCUAGAGAUCGGAAGAGGAUGAGGUGAAUUCCCAGUGUAGAGGUGAAAUUCGUAGAUAUUGGGAAGAACACCAGUGGCGAAGGCGGCUCACUGGUCCGAUACUGACGCUGAGGUGCGAAAGCGUGGGGAGCAAACAGG